AGAGUUUGAUUAUGGCUCAGGAUGAACGCUAGCUACAGGCUUAACACAUGCAAGUCGAGGGGCAGCAUGAACUUAGCUUGCUAAGUUGAUGGCGACCGGCGCACGGGUGAGUAACGCGUAUCCAACCUUCCCCCCUAGUAGGGCAUAGCCCGGUGAAAAUCGGAUUAAUACCCUAUGUUUUCCAAUGAGGACAUCUGAGCUGGAACAAAGAUUCAUCGCUAAGGGAUGGGGAUGCGUCCGAUUAGGUUGUUGGCGGGGUAACGGCCCACCAAGCCUUCGAUCGGUAGGGUUCUGAGAGGAAGGUCCCCCACACUGGUACUGAGACACGGACCAGACUCCUACGGGAGGCAGCAGUGAGGAAUAUUGGUCAAUGGGCGAGAGCCUGAACCAGCCAAGUAAGCGUGCAGGACGACGGCCCUACGGGUUGUAAACUGCUUUUAUGCGGGGAUAAAGUGAGGGACGUGUCCCUUUUUGUAGGUACCGCAUGAAUAAGGACCGGCUAAUUCCGUGCCAGCAGCUGC
rnacentral:rRNA from 1 species